UUAUUGGGGUUUUAAGAAUUUAAAAUUUUUAUGGCAAGGCUAGUUAUAUUUUAUAAUGGGUUUCAGGCUCAACAAAAUUCUAACGUCGGAUGCUUUAUUCCAAUGUCGCGAUGCUGCAACGUUGGUUUUAUGGACCUUUCUUUGAAACAACAAAAAUGCUAAUGUGCAUUUCUACUCUGCUGUAUUACUAUUGGUACAAAAUAGAGGUAAUUAAAAAUAAUAAGCUUGUAUUCGAACAUAAAGCCACACCAAACAAUUCUUCUUUGAAAAGAUGAGCUCUCGGUUGAUGCGUCUCCCCUUAGAUAAGACCUGACAUGGGACAAAUUUCGUGAUUUUUAGUUUAGUGCAUCUUUUGUCAAAAGCGUUUCAGGGUUUACUCUGAAAGGUUUGGUUUAUAAAUUGUUCCAGGUGGGGUGGCGAUAAAGAACAUUGAUUUUUAUUGCAAAAAGUUGAAAAUAUUGUGACAGGUGAAAUGGAUUGAUAAACUGGAGCAACACUAAAUAUCCAUUUCUAUUCCGUCCAAAAGUAAAGUAAAAAGCGUUGAACGUUUCAACUGUUGUGCGAUAUGAACUAAAUACGAGUAGAAGUUUAAAUUGGAAUAAAUAAAUGAGGAGAGCUGGAAACCGGUAAACAAUAUUCCCACAUAACUGAUUAAAAUGAAUUAGAUUUUAAUAACUUUCCUCGAAACAAGAUGGAAAAUUAGUUGAGCGUAAUCCUGGAUAAGAUUUCACGGAAACGCUCAAAUUUGCAUAUUUCCCUCUUCAAGUUUGUCAACAACACUUGUCUUUCCGUGAUUAACUCGUAUUCUAGUCGCUUCAUUUUUUGCUAAUUGUAGGGCCUGAUUACUGCAGGAUUAGAUAAGUGGCGGCGAUUUGUCGUAGGUAAAGCUGGAAAUCCCCGAUUCCAACCCUAUCUCUUUACGUCUUUAAUGGAAUACGUAAGGACAAAUUAAAAUGUAGGAAGGUGAAGAUACCGUCUAGAUGUCUCCAGUAUUUGCAGUCGGGCAUUCUGCAUCCUAUUAUCUAUGCAAUGCUGAAUAAAACAUCUACCGAGAGGACGGUUUUCUGUUUUUAUUUCAAUAAAUUGUGUGGUCUGGAAUAUAAACUAUCCUUCUCCAAUUAUGAGCCGGUAUCGGGUCUCCUAGGUCAGGCUUUGUGCCCCGGCUUAAUAUUUUUUCCGCCAAUAUGUUCUUUGUCUUUGCGUCUCGUAAAUUUUCGCUUCGGUUUAUUCGGUACGAGGGCCGCAAAAAGUUCUUAUUAAUAUUUCACGUUCGAAAAGAAGUUUGAAAAAUUGGCGAAAUGUUGGUAUAUAGCGGAUCGAGCCGAUCGUAACAAAUAUUCUUGCAGACAUGAUGGACUGUGGGAGAAGCGAUAGCGAGGCCACCUGACGCUCAACGUGGAGGAAGCCUUUACAAGAAAACUUACGCUCCGAUUCGUCUCUCCAAUCCGAUUGCCAACUAACGAUCUCGAUAGCUGCCUGAUUCCAAACCCGCUAAACUAGCUACCUACAUCUUCCUCGAAAAUCUAAUGGUAUCGAGCCAGUUUAGAAAUAAACCAAACGCAGUGGGUUUGUUCAAAAAGGCGAAUUUUUAUGGCGUAUGGAUAUUGCGGUUGGAUUGGGAUAAAGUGGCGGUAUCGCUUAAGUGUCGUGGGUGUUACGGAGCGUCAAUAAGUGCGUUAAAGAAAGAAACGUAAACGGCAAAGAAGAUGAGGAACAGAUUAAACGAUUCUACGUGAGAAUUUUGGAGAUCGCUGAAUAUUGAGAAGGUAUAUGAGCGGAAUCCAAGAUUAGGUUAAAAAAGAAGUGAUCUUAUUUUGGAAACAGAUUAUUAUAAUAUGUAAAGAAGGUGGAUGAAUGCCGCGCACGAACUGUCUCUGUAUAUGUACUCGUCGUUUUUUAUCGUCUCUUCUUUAUCCCAUUAUUUGGUGGAACGGCAACAUGUCCAUUCGCAUGUAAAAUCCUUGUAUUAAAUCCAACAAGAUCGUCAUGUAAAUUUUAAUUUCGCCGCUGUGUAAAAUCCUGAAAAUAAAUUAACGCAGUAAUUAAAGCAG